CAGUCGAGCGCCCCGCAGGGGAGCGGCAGACGGGUGAGUAACGCGUGGGAAUCUACCCAUCUCUACGGAAUAACCCAGGGAAACUUGGACUAAUACCGUAUACGCCCUUCGGGGGAAAGAUUUAUCGGAGAUGGAUGAGCCCGCGUUGGAUUAGCUAGUUGGUGGGGUAAUGGCCUACCAAGGCGACGAUCCAUAGCUGGUCGGAGAGGAUGAUCAGCCACACUGGGACUGAGACACGGCCCAGACUCCUACGGGAGGCAGCAGUGGGGAAUAUUGGACAAUGGGCGAAAGCCUGAUCCAGCCAUGCCGCGUGAGUGAUGAAGGCCCUAGGGUUGUAAAGCUCUUUCAACGGUGAAGAUAAUGACGGUAACCGUAGAAGAAGCCCCGGCUAACUUCGUGCCAGCAGCCGCGGUAAUACGAAGGGGGCUAGCGUUGUUCGGAAUUACUGGGCGUAAAGCGCACGUAGGCGGAUAUUUAAGUUAGGGGUGAAAUCCCAGGGCUCAACCCUGGAACUGCCUUUAAUACUGGGUAUCUCGAGUCCGAGAGAGGUGAGUGGAAUUCCGAGUGUAGAGGUGAAAUUCGUAGAUAUUC
rnacentral:rRNA from 1 species